GGGCGAGUGGCGGAAUUGGUAGACGCGCUGGUCUUAGGAACCAGUCUGCUUUGCAGGUGGAGGUUCGAGUCCUCUCUCGCCCACAA
rnacentral:tRNA from 1 species